GACGAAGGAUGCAAGCGUUAUCCGGAUUCAUUGGGUUUAAAGGGUGCGUAGGCGGGCAGGUAAGUCAGUGGUGAAAUCUCCGGGCUUAACCCGGAAACUGCCGUUGAUACUAUCUGUCUUGAAUAUCGUGGAGGUAAGCGGAAUAUGUCAUGUAGCGGUGAAAUGCUUAGAUAUGACAUAGAACACCCAUUGCGAAGGCAGCUUACUACACGAUCAUUGACGCUGAGGCACGAAAGCGUGGGGAGCAAACAGG
rnacentral:rRNA from 1 species